CAUACGUCUUGACACUUCAUCAAACCCUUGAACCAGUAAGCAUGUACUGCAUCUGUUAUGAGAUAGAGAUUGCGCGCAUCUUUAUACAAUGGCUUUGAUGUGAUUUCGAACGUUAUUGACUAUGUAUUGAUAUGUUCUUACGGAUUUAUCAGUGAUGAUGCAAGCGAAUAGAUUGGUGCCGGUAAUCAAGAAUAAUAUUCGUCGAUGUAGUGCUGUGGAUCAAAUAAAGCUCAAACCUAAACCCAAUUGGGAGUACACAUUGUGCCUGCAUUUUAAGUUCAAGAUCAAAGAUAAAACAGCAGUUGUUUUGUUCACUUUUUAUUUAAAGAGUUGAAAAAGGUUUGAUUUGAAAAUAAUCAAGAGGAGCUGAAGAUUGGAAUAUUUUAAAGUGUUGACAGAGAAGACUGGAGUGUUCUUAUCUGUUUAAAAUCAGCUACUGGAUAAUAUACUCAAGCAAUAAACUCAAAAGAGCCACGUCAUUCUACUACAGAUAUACAGGAUCAGUAAUAGCACCUUCAGAAACUUUAUGCGGGGAAGUGUACCAGGUAUCCACUUGAACUCUUUGUUUUAGGCGUGCAUUGAAAAGAUUUUACAAGCGAUUAUACAAGCCACUGGCAUCAUUAUUUUCCUGGUCACUGGAUACUGAAUUGGCAGAUCUGCACAUUGUGCACCUUUCUCUGCUCCCUGGGGAUUAUAAUAAUAAUAAUAAUAGGCACUUUUAGAUUUUCAUGUCAACAUAGUCGACGUCUUGACAUGAUGUCACUUUCAAGCACUGCGCUUGCGCGAUCUUCAACCCCUCGCUCACCACCAGAUUUGAGAACGCGUUCAUCCUGGUUUUCACCGUCAACCCAAGUCUACUCGCAUUGUUGACGGUAUGACGUCAUUUUUUAAAGAUGGGCGAUACCGGACCCGCUGAAAUGAUCUUACUAGGCCUAAGCAGAGGCCUAAUUCUAUGCAAUUUUCAAGUAAUUUCAUCUCUGACAUUGAACAAGUUUACAGUUUACAGGUCGAUUUGCAUUGUACAAAAGCACAAACUUUUCAUCGUCUAGCACAUUGCUGAAAUAUCCGAAUAGGAUCGCUUCUUUAUAAAGAUUCGCCAUGACGGUAAGGCUUGAUCCUUGCUCAAAAAGUCAUCAUGUUGACUCCUUUUCGAUCGAAAUUGGAACUGAUUUCAGCAGUGGAUCACCAUGAGGAGUGAACACGUUGACGGUUGCCUGCAUUCGACGUGAACAUGCUCGUCGUUCACUCAAUCGAAAGGUCCCUAAUAAUGAUAAUAUACUUUAUCUUUACACGGAUACACUUGAUUCACUCAAGAGUGUUUUUCGUCAAGGCCGCCUAAGACCAUAUUAUGUGUUAUAUGUUGUUUGUUAUGUGUAAAGUAACAAAAUAUAAGCAAAAUAUAUAAGUAAAAGAACAAAAAGAAAACUACAUUUAAACAAAGGUUUAGCAAAUAGCAAAAAGGGGUGGUGGGAAUAAUAAUCAUGAUUUAAAUGCUAUUAUGUUUAGUUAAGGUUUUUCGGGGAUAACGACAAAAUUAAAGGUAAACAAUUAAGAAAGUAAACUUUUAAAAAGAUGUAUGUUAGAAUAUUAUUAUCCCUGGUCAUUGCUGCUUGAACGUGCACGACCCAUACAUUCAAUGCCAUACCAUCCUACCAGGUACCCAUUUAUACUCCUGGGUGGAGAGAGGCAAAUGUAUGUAAAGUGCCUUGCCCAAGGGCACAAGCAAUGCGAGGAACGUAGUCUCAAACUCCGAUCUCACAAUCAGAAGACCAACACCUUAUUCGCUACACCACACGCGCCUAUAUUAUACGCCAAUAUAAAAUCUUGAAAAUUAAUAUUUUUCAAUGAAAUACAGAUAAAUACAAAGUUUUGACUGAUGUACUGAUGACAUUUAAUUGAUUGGUUUUUAAUACAGUAAUACUGGAACUAUACUAUUUAUACAUUUAUUAAUUUUACAAGAAUUUUUUUUUUUCUCAUUCUAAUUUUUCAGUAGACCUUUCUGCUAAUCAUCACCCACCUGUCCUCACCCAUGAUAGUUUUGCUAAAGUCCUACAAAACAACAGCAUAAAUGUAUGUAAAUACAUGUGUUUUAGGACAAACUUUAAUUUGUUCCCUAGAAAGUAUGCAUACUCAAUUCAAAGAAAUACAUGCCAACUCUUUUAUUGGGUUGUCUUCAGGA